CUUUUUAAAUGGUUUGGUGUGAUGUUUUGUAACAGUUUUGAACGGUUCUUUUUGGCUGAAAUGAAAGUUUUUAUGGUGAUGUUUAUAUUUAUUCAUUUUAUAUGCUUUAGACAUGUAAAACAUAAUAACUAUUGUGUGUGUUAAUAAUAUAAUUGCAUGUAUCUGGCGUCUAGUGAAUUGAACCAGUUCUUAAAAUCAAACUGUCUGAAAGAACCAGUUCACGGAAAAUAAUUGGAUUUCCCCAUUUGCUUGAGGCUCUGGAUUACAAGUAAUAAUGUCGUAAGUAAUGUUCAGAUUCUUGCACAGACUAAUCGUUUUGCUUCCUAAGACCUUAAUUCAGACCAUGGGAAUUAAUUUUGUGUUGUCUGUAUAUGUCGUUUUUUACUCUCAAAGUGACGGCAGCCAUUGACCUACAGUAAAUCUUGGAUGACCUGAGGGUGAGUACAUUAAAGGUCAAUUUUCAUUUUUUGCCUGAACUAUCCCUUUAAGAUUCUGAGCUCUUGAGCCAAUUUAAAACAAUUUCAGUGUUUCUCCUCAUCAGACGGCCUGAUCCUGGAUUGCUAAAGCUCAGGUGGCCGAUAUAAGCAGCUUAAAUGGCUUUCUCGCUUGAUCUCCACAAACAAAACGCUAGAUGCUGAUUGGUUCCUCUCUGUCUCAGUGGGCGGGGCAUGUAUCUAUCAAAGAGACUUCACGGAUGCAGUGCAGUUGCCAAGGCAACGUCGCCAGGCAGCCGAGUGUGAGAGAAAGUGAAGCGGACUGACUUUACUCUUACACAGAAACACUUAUAUUCUUAUGGGGGUUAUUUAAAGACAUUGCAACGCUUCAUCUACUCAGCGUAUUCAAUUAACCCUCUGUGUGGAGAGACUACAUUUUAGUCAAUUGCUAUGCAGUUGCUUAGUUGUUCUGGUUGAGAUUAAGCGUGUUUUAAGUGGUUGCUAGUGUAUGUGACAUUUUAUCCAACGGUUUUAACAUAAACAAAUAAUGCAUAGAAAAGUUAAACAAGCUACCAGGUUACAAACCAGACUUAUCAUUAGGGGUUUGUUCAAAUCACUACCCCAACUAAGAGCCCACGUAAUAGUGAUGCUUGGCUAAGCAAACAAAGCUAACCACAACCUGUCUUUUGUUCUUAAGAUGGUGCCAUGUGAAUUACACGCUAGCAGCACUUAAUUGCAGUGUAGCAUCUGAUGCCAUCAAUAGCUUUUGGAAACAUUGGUAUUAAUGUUCAGUCUACGUCUGACAGCCUGUGCUAGGCACUCAAAAUGAUGACUCCCAACAUGUUAUCAGCUGAGUGUCUCCGUAGAGCUUCAUAGCAUCUCUUCACAUUAGCUCGCAGCGGCAAGCGUCGUAAGAGCCAAUUGGAAAAGUGUCUAGAGUCAACAUUCAUACCACAGCCUUUGCUCUCCGAGGGAAAAUACACUGGGUGGGGAACGUCACAAGGCUUCUUUGAGGCUGAGUUGGCACUAGCAACAGUUUUGCCGUUAGCUUUAGCACUGUACUUAUGGCUAAUUUGUUCCUGGCUGUCAUCUUUUUUCUGUAAGGAUGUAAAGUUCCAUACUGGCUGAGAGCAAUGCACUAUGGGAUUUAUUCACACAACUUUGUUCAAAAUAGUUGGCUUCACCAACUCUCU
ensembl:lncRNA